GCGUCCCCGCGGCCCGGCCUCUUCAUUGCUGGACUGGUCAACCAGGCUACUGGACGCCGCUGCUCGCAGCCUGACAUAUGACUCACAGCCUCGUUGAUCAGGUAUCCUCUGGAUACCUGAUCAUCCAGGUAUCUCGAGUGUUCAUGAGUGUUCUGUCAUGAACACUGUGAGAGGUUGGCCAGUUAUGCCCCUUAUGUGUACUGAAAUAGUAUAAAUAUAGUGGAAGGGAUAGAUAAGCAGCCUUCCAGUCUGUAGUGGAAGGUAUAAAUAAGCAUUUGUUUGCUGAUUUUAUGAAUAAGUUUUGGUAUGAACUUGAUAUAUUAGCAUUUUCUACACUUUAUUAUCAAUAUGACUUUAUUUACUAUUGUUUAUUGGAUCACUAUUAUUAGUCUUGGCUCUUUAUUUGUUAAGGGAUCUUAGUUAUUGUAACAUUUUAUUAAGGAUUUUAGGCAUUGAGAAUUUUUGUCUGACUUUUAGGCUGCCUUAACCUUAUUAUCCUCAAGAUUAAGCAGGAGCAUAUAUACAUCUUUGAUAUUUUAAGUUGCUUAAUGUACAACUAAAUACAGUAAGUUGCCUAUUGCAAUUUACCAUAAUGCAUUAAGCAGCUUACUGUAUAUAUGUUUUUUAGUAUUAUUAGUAUUCUUUUGUAAAUUUGCUCUAAUACAGUAGCUAGCUUUUGGGCACUUACUUUAUUACAGUAAUUAACGUACUGUACAAGAUAUUUCAUACAGUAUGCAGCUUACUGUUCAAGUAGUUUAAUACAGCAAGUGUCCUUCUGCACACUUAAAUGUACAAUUACUUUAGUAAAGAAACUGCAAUAUGUACACCUCCUUUGAUACAGUAAGUAGUACUGUACUAUAUUUUUUAUAGUACAGUACAGCAAGUAUUAAAGUAAAUACAUGCAUUAUCUGAAAUAAAGCAACAUAUAAGUUUAACCAAU